CACACUCACAAAGUGGGGACCGAAAACAAAGUGGGGACCAAAUCCUCGGUCCCCACAAUGUUUAGCUUUAAAUAGGCUCUAGAGGCGCUGCUGAUAUGCCUCGUGCAGUUUUUUUUUUGAAGCCCCACCAUGAGCAAAUACCUGACUUAAGUGUGUGAGUGUGUGUUCAAGCGGUGCUCUUCAGCGCCCCUGCAGUUCAGUCUCAGAACUGCACCUGUAAGCACACCUAUGACGUCACACGCAAAGAUACACACUUUUGCAGCAGCAGCACAUGCGGUUGGUCUUGCAGGUAAGUUAAUUAAUUUGUUUAUAGUAAAUCAUAAUCGAGUUAUUCUUAAAAUGCAGUGAUCACGCAAUGUAAUGACAUGUGGUCUCGAUGUGAUGUAAUUGAAGCUGUUUUGUAAAGGAAAAUGUGGAAAAAAGUUUUUAACUCCGUGUUGAUAUGUAAGAAAGCAUUGCUGACUGCGGAGAAAAACACCAUUAAUAAACUUUUAGUUCGCGUCGAUAUUUAAGUUAAAGUUGAACAAUAGUACUAUUUUUUUCCAAUUUCGUCACGGCGUAGCGGGUCAAGGCCAAAAUGAGACGGAGGAGGAUAAACCCUAUUAAAAAUGCGGAGGAGCACGUGUUAAACGCCGUGGACAAAACUUAUGCUCUGGAAACCAAGUUCAUCAGUAAUCAUAAAGGUCGUGGAGUGUUUGCCUUGUCCCCUUUUAAUAAAGGAGAUUUUGUUGUGGAAUACCGAGGCGAAUUGAUUGACUUUAAUGAAGCAGAAAAGAGAAGAGAGGUCACUCAAAGUCCUGUCUUUUUUUUUUGACUUCAUUUGGGAAAACAAGAAGUGGUGCAUUGAUGCAACCGAGGAGAACGCCACCUUUGGAAGGCUAGUGAAUGACGACCACUUGCACCCAAACUGUACAGUAAAAAAGAUUGUUGUCCAAGGAAACCCCCAUUUGUGCCUUUUUGCAGCGAGAGAUAUUAUUCCUGGAGAGGAAAUAACAUAUGAUUAUGGACCAAGUG